rnacentral:tRNA from 1 species
GCCGAAGUGGUGGAACUGGCAGACGCGCUGGACUCAAAAUCCAGUGGUAGCAAUACCGUGCGGGUUCGACCCCCGCCUUCGGCACCA